rnacentral:rRNA from 1 species
UACGGAGGGUGCAAGCGUUAUCCGGAUUCACUGGGUUUAAAGGGUGCGUAGGUGGGCAGGUAAGUCAGUGGUGAAAUCUCUGGGCUUAACCCGGAAACUGCCGUUGAUACUAUCUGUCUUGAAUGUAGUGGAGGUGAGCGGAAUAUGUCAUGUAGCGGUGAAAUGCUUAGAUAUGACAUAGAACACCCAUUGCGAAGGCAGCUCGCUACACUAUUACUGACACUGAGGCACGAAAGCGUGGGGAUCAAACAGG